GCCAGGUGUGGUGGUGCAUGCCUGUAAUCCCAGGGGCUUGGGAGGCUGAGGCAGGAGGAUCUCAAGUUUAAAGCCAGUCUCUACAUAAGCGAGGUGCUAAGCAACUCAGUGAGGCCCUGUCUCUA
rnacentral:sRNA from 1 species